GGGGGUGUCGCUUGGUGGUAGAGCACUUGCCCAGCACACACAAGAGCUCUGGGUUCAAUUCCCAGCACCUCAA
rfam:Ictidomys tridecemlineatus contig099377, whole genome shotgun sequence.